GAUAGCUCAGCUGGUUAGAGCGUGGUGCUGAUAAUGGCAUGGUUGCAGGUUCAAUCCCCGUAUACGGGGGACA